UACAGAGGGUGCGAGCGUUAAUCGGAAUUACUGGGCGUAAAGCGCAUGUAGGUGGUUUAAUAAGUUUGAUGUGAAAGCCCCGGGCUUAACCUGGGAAUAGCGUUGAAAACUGUAAGACUAGAGUCGGACAGAGGGUGGAGGAAUUUCCGGUGUAGCGGUGAAAUGCGUAGAGAUCGGAAAGAACACCAGUGGCGAAGGCGUCUGCCUGGGUCCAGACUGACACUGAGGUGCGAAAGCGUGGGGAGCAAACAGG
rnacentral:rRNA from 1 species